UAGGGAAUCUUCGGCAAUGGACGAAAGUCUGACCGAGCAACGCCGCGUGAGUGAAGAAGGUUUUCGGAUCGUAAAACUCUGUUGUUAGAGAAGAACAAGGACGUUAGUAACUGAACGUCCCCUGACGGUAUCUAACCAGAAAGCCACGGCUAACUACGUGCCAGCAGCCGCGGUAAUACGUAGGUGGCAAGCGUUGUCCGGAUUUAUUGGGCGUAAAGCGAGCGCAGGCGGUUUCUUAAGUCUGAUGUGAAAGCCCCCGGCUCAACCGGGGAGGGUCAUUGGAAACUGGGAGACUUGGGUGCAGAAGAGGAGAGUGGAAUUCCAUGUGUAGCGGUGAAAUGCGUAGAUAGAUGGAGGAACACCAGUGGCGAAGGCGGCUCUCUGGUCUGUAACUGACGCUGAGGCUCGAAAGCGUGGGGAGCAAACAGG
rnacentral:rRNA from 1 species